ensembl:lncRNA
AUGAACCAUCUGCCUUGUGGACAGCUCAAGAUGGACAGGAAAGCAAAGGGCCCCAGGCCGGAUCUGGAACCAUGGCAGCUGCAGCAAGGACCCAACCCCGGCUCGUGCUUCUUCGAAAACGUCAGUGAUCAAGUGGGAUUCAUCAUUCAGCACACUGGGGUAAGAGCACAUUUGGAUGGUGAAGAACAUUUUGUGUAUCUGGAGUUGCCAUCUCUUGUUUUUUCAUCAUUAUCUGAAAGGUUAGCCCAAAACUCAGCUAAAUCUGCAAAUUGUAUUUGUUUUACCAGUAUUUUUAGCCCUAGGUCUGUCUGUGUGUCAUUUACUCCCAAUACAUCAUGAUAAGUUAUAUAAUAACCAAAAUAAUUAGAUUUGUAUAGCACUUUUCACGUUGUGCUAAAAGUGCCAGAGGUUUCCAUUGUAAGGUAUAAUGAAAUGAAAAUCAAUAUGGGACCUCUAUAAGAUAAUGCAUGUCCAGCAUGGAAAAGAAAAACCCAGUGCAAAUGAUAAUAUGUGAAAGUUAAACUGAACACAUAAAUUAGUGCUUGUCUGAAAAUAUUCUAGCUUUUUUCUGAUGUUGAUCUCUGACACCUUGAAGUCACUGCCUGUAUGUUGGUUGAUGUGUAUAAUCUCUUGGCCUGUAACAUGCAUUGAACUCUGCGAUCCCACCUCGAGCCAUUCUCCUCUGCCCCUGGGACUUUUUCUUGUUCACUCCAUGUUGAGAUGCCAAAACAAGUAGGAGAGAAAACAGAUCAAUGAAACACCAUAUCAGAUGAUGGAAAAUCUGCGAGAGAGGAGCAUUAGCGCAGAGGAGUGAAGAUCAAACUGGGCAAACAAGAGUGACAUCAUCACCUCUCGCAACUACCAUCACAGCACUGAUUUUGAUGGUAGUUCACUCAUGAUCUAAAUUUAAAGUGACUGUAAUCCUCAGAUCGUUGUGACUGAUGAUCCAAAUAUUUGGUGGUGUAAAUCCAUUUUAUAGCCUGUAUAGAAGUGCUACACUCUAACUGAUUUAUUGGAACUGUAAUAUAAAGGACCAGUGUGUAGAAGUGUGGAGGAAUUACGGUGUCGUCAAAAUUUGUGAAAAAUCUAGAGCCAGUGUUUGGUUUGUCCAUUCUGGGCUAUUGUAGAAACAUGGUCUUCACCAAUUCCUGAGAAAACGUAUUCUUUAGCUGCUAAACGCUCCACUUUGUUCACCAGCUGGUCUCCAACUUUGUCUGUCUGCUGCUUGGUGCUGGACAGGUAGUGUGCAGUGGGUUUAUCAGAGCUUUUUACUGAAAACAGCUGCCUGCUGCUGCUGGAAAUAAGGUUGAUGAAGACAGUGAAAUUGCACCUUACCAACCAUAGGAGCUGAAAGACACUAAAACCCACUUUAUAGCUGAGGGGAACUGCUGUGUCAGGUAAUAAUCCUCUGUGGUUUUCUCACUACAAGUAGCCCUUGUACACAUAAUUAUUUGAUCCACUGUUCAUAUAAAACUAUUGAUUGCAUCUUACGGUGUAUUUCAUUAUUUAAAUUUUUUACAAUAAGUAGAAUUAAGAAGCACAUACUGUUUGAUUGACUGAUCUUUGGGGAACGAGCACUUAGCACCAAAUAUGAUGACAAGCUGAAAAGAAGAGAAUCACACUUUUUUCCCCAGGCCAUAAUUCACAGUGUGUGUGACACAGCGUGUGUGCUAAGCAAACUGAGGUUUGCAUAAGACAUGAGUUGAACAUGCCACAAAAACGCUGCAAGGAAUGCUGAUUCUCUCCAUCCUGCUAUGAUUAAAACUAGACAUGUGAGGAUGUGAGAGGAAACCUGCAGGAUCAACCUGAGCCUGAGAGGCAGGAGCAGAGAGCAGGAGGAGUGUUAGAUUGGAUGGCAGGUAGAUUGCAUCUAUCAGAGGAAUCAUCUCCCCCAAAACACUGUCCGCCUCCAGACUCUGCUCUCUUAUUUUUUUCUGAGGGGGGGGCAAUUCUCUGCAAUUCCCAAGGUGUCAGCCAGCGCUAUCAUAUCACAGUCUUGCCAUCCAGCUCCGGCUAGUUUGAAACAGAGGGGGUGACGUGGGGCGAUAGACAUCUCAUUACACUUUCAUAUACCGCUAACCGCCGCAGGUUGGCCGGCUGGUCAAAGAGAGCCGAGCACAGCCUCAUUGAUUCAGACGGCUGCUCUCCUCUGCACGCCCAGAGGCAGGUGCUUCACUCCUUUCCCCCACGUUAAUUAAUUUCCUGACACGUCACUCCCCGUCAUUCCCCGCAGUCAUGUCUUCUGCUCUGUGUCCUGUGGUUCUACUUUUAUCAAACGGCGAGAUGUUUGACAUCAAAAUGAUCCACUGGGGUGCUGAGGGGGGUGAGCCUGAACAUCUAGUCCUCCUUGGCCAGGGUUUGACCUGGCUAGGCGUCAGCUGAGCUGUCAGCCAGAGCACAGCCUGACAUGACAGUGUCUCUCUGUCUCAGCCCCAACACUGGAGUCAUUCUUUCUCUGCCGCACUGCUCUCUGCAGCAGGCCAGGCAUAUGGCUGACAUACAUCGCCCGGGGUUAUGCCUGGGGGCUGGCGUCCCUUCUCUGUAGGCCUCGGCUCCCAGGAGAAGCAGGUGGUGCCAGUUAACAGCUGCUGGAUGCAGCAGGAAUGGUCUUUCCACACAAUAGCCCUUAAUUCCCCUUCUCCCCAGUCCAACCAGUACACUGAGUUCUCCAGUGGUUUCCAAUAGUGUGCCAAGGAGGCCCAAGAGAGGUCUCAAAAUGACUUCUUGUUCAUUCAUGUCUUCAGUCACAUGUUGAUGUUCGUACUGGUGCCAUCAAAUGAGGUCAUGGUCACAGUUUCAUAUGAAUGUCCCACUGUUGUAGUAUUCAUGACUUGGUUAGUGGAAAUGUUCCGAUAGUUCUUGAGUUGUGACACGCACUGAUGUUUUUAAAAAUGGCAGAACCCUCUUUGUAAUUUACUCUUGUUCUUUCGUGUGGCAUUAAAAUUCUGAAAACAUAAAAUCAUUCACUAUUUUUAGGAACUUAGCAGCAUGGUUCUGCAACUAAUGUUGGUUGCCUCUAAUGUUGGUUGCCUGGUCCACGACUUCGGUCCAAACUGAAACAUCUCAAAACUACUGGAUGGACUGCCAUAAUCCCACUGACUUUAGAGACCCCCUG